GUGGGGAAUAUUGGACAAUGGGCGCAAGCCUGAUCCAGCAAUGCCGCGUGGGUGAAGAAGGUCUUCGGAUCGUAAAGCCCUUUCGACAGGGACGAUGAUGACGGUACCUGUAGAAGAAGCCCCGGCUAACUUCGUGCCAGCAGCCGCGGUAAUACGAAGGGGGCUAGCGUUACUCGGAAUUACUGGGCGUAAAGGGCGAGUAGGCGGCUCUGUUAGUCAGGCGUGAAAUUCCUGGGCUUAACCUGGGGAUUGCGCUUGAUACUGCAGGGCUUGAGGCCGAUGGAGGGUGGGGGAAUUCCCAGUGUAGAGGUGAAAUUCGUAGAUAUUGGGAAGAACACCGGUGGCGAAGGCGACCACCUGGCUCGGUUCUGACGCUGAGGCGCGACAGCGUGGGGAGCAAACAGGAUUAGAUACCCCUGUAGUCC
rnacentral:rRNA from 1 species